CAUUAGGAUGCGAUCCUGGUAAUUGAGUUGGAGUCACAACGUUACCAACGUACCAGUACUAAGGAGCAAGGAGAGAGCGAACUAUGUUUGAAAACGAUGAUCUUACUACUAAAUACUGGAGUCUGGUAGUAACUAGUACGUAGAUAGUGUAUGGAGGCGACGGAGCGGCACUUGGAGCACCGUCACGAAUACCUCCCCCAAUAGGGCUGCAGCUUGCAGCAUGCAGGAUGCACCAGCAAACUAGUCACGGCUCCUGAUCGCAUACCGCGACAUCGAUCGAAUGCGCCGAUGGAAAAUUAGAAACUUAAAGGAUUCAACAAUUCCAGAAUCAUCAUGCCGGCUGGAUGACGAAGAUCUGACUUCCCGUCUAGGCUACCAAGGCAAUGUGUCUGUCAAUCAAUACGCGGUACAACACCAAACUAAUAAAGAAAGCCGACAUGGGUAUCAGAGCCGAGAACACGUAACGGUGACCACACCCAGGCAAAGUAUGGGCACUGGACAGCAUGGACACUUUGACUCAGAAAAAUGAGCAACAGCAGCUUCUCAGAAGGCACCGUGUACCACCACAGCUCGGAAAAUCGCAAGGUGGAAGCGUAAAAAGUGGGCGACAGCCACGCGACGACACUAAACCAGGGCGGCUCGGCUGCCGUCCAGAAUCUUGAAACAAGUCGGAGGACCGUCGUCUAGACACCGCGGCUCUCUAAGGGCGCUUCACAUGGGAAAUUUCAAACCACCUCGUAAUCGUAUCUGAAAUGUCGUAGUGGCUGGAAUCGCUCCAUUGGCGGGAAUACCUAAUAUACACGCCGUUGGGGUCUAAAAGAGUUGACUGCACACCACCGGCGAGAUUUUGUCACCCAUCUAGGCCUACUACGUAAAGUUCA
rnacentral:lncRNA from 1 species